rnacentral:rRNA from 1 species
UGGGGAAUAUUGGACAAUGGGCGAAAGCCUGAUCCAGCCAUGCCGCGUGUGUGAAGAAGGUCUUCGGAUUGUAAAGCACUUUAAGUUGGGAGGAAGGGCAGUAAGCGAAUACCUUGCUGUUUUGACGUUACCGACAGAAUAAGCACCGGCUAACUCUGUGCCAGCAGCCGCGGUAAUACAGAGGGUGCAAGCGUUAAUCGGAAUUACUGGGCGUAAAGCGCGCGUAGGUGGUUCGUUAAGUUGUAUGUGAAAGCCCCGGGCUCAACCUGGGAACUUCAUCCAAAACUGGCGAGCUAGAGUAGGGCAGAGGGUGGUGGAAUUUCCUGUGUAGCGGUGAAAUGCGUAGAUAUAGGAAGGAACACCAGUGGCGAAGGCGACCACCUGGGCUCAUACUGACACUGAGGUGCGAAAGCGUGGGGAGCAAACAGG